rnacentral:rRNA from 1 species
UGGGGAUGACGUCAAGUCAGCAUGGCCUUUAUACUCCUGGGCUACGACACACGCUACAAUGGGAAGGGACAAUAGGUUGCGAAGCCGCGAGGCGGAGCCAAUCCAAGCAAACUUCCCUCAGUUCAGAUUGCAGGCUGCAACUCGCCUGCAUGAAGUUGGAGUUGCUAGUAAACGCAGGUCAGCCAUACUGCGUUGAAUACGUUCCCGGGGCUU